CUGCUUUCUAGUUUCCCAUGGAAAGGCAAAGCCACGACGCAAAGUGCCGUCGCCUUGUGACAAGAAACCCUGCACUUUCUUUGCUCAUCUGCUUCAUCUUCUUCCUCAUGUUUUCCCUGAUUCUUCACAGGCACUAAAAGUCUAAGCGAGAACAGAAACGAUGAGUUGCUCAUAGAAAAUUCUGACAGCAGUGAAGUUAUAGUGGAGUCUGUCGGAGGAGAGAUAGCGCCUAGCUAGUGCAUAUUGUAUAGUGCUUGUAAGUUGUACGAAGCUGGUAGGCGCCAUCAUCCUCCGAUAAACUCCCCUCCAUCUUCAGUCAAGAUCAUCUUUUCUAUAUUGGUUUUGCUUGUUUUUCAGAGGGCUGGAGAGUUGUUUGUUUAACCUAAAACUUUGAAUGUAAAAGGCCACCUUUUUUAUCAGAUUUUCAACAAUGACAUGGCAAGAAUAAGAUACAAGCAACAUCAGAUUAAUUCUUCUCCAUAAGUUUUCAUAUCAAAGAAUUCCUCUCUCAAAUGUUGGAGAAAGAGCUGACACUAGAGGAAAGAAGAAGGGUGUUUGGAAAGAGUUGACACUUACAGUAAUGUCAAUAGCCCGAAUCAAGCGGCAAGCUUUGUCUCUUCAUGAUGGCAUACCC